rnacentral:rRNA from 1 species
GGAAUAUUGGACAAUGGGGGCAACCCUGAUCCAGCCAUGCCGCGUGUGUGAAGAAGGCCUUCGGGUUGUAAAGCACUUUCAGCAGGGAGGCAAGGCUGCCGGUUAAUACCCGGUCAGCUGUGACGUUACCUGCAGACGAAGCACCGGCAAACUCCGUGCCAUCAGCCGCGGUAAUACGGAGGGUGCGCGCGUUAAUCGGAAUUACUGGGCGUAAAGCGCGCGUAGGCGGCUUGUUAAGCUGGAUGUGAAAGCCCCGGGCUUAACCUGGGAACUGCGUCCAGAACUGGCAGGCUAGAGUACGGUAGAGGUGAGUGGAAUUUCCUGUGUAGCGGUGAAAUGCGUAGAUAUAGGAAGGAACACCAGUGGCGAAGGCGGCUCACUGGACUGAUACUGACGCUGAGGUGCGAAAGCGUGGGGAGCAAA